AGAUGGAUUGUUCUUAUGUUGCAUAUUUUUUUUUAGUUUCACUUUUUCAAUUCACAUUCGUCGGUCAGCAGGUUUGUUUCUUUCGGUAAAGGCAUCAAAUAUCGGAUCCAGAUGGAUGUAUUGGAGGGGAAAUGAAAGAUGUUUACUUCGCACUUACAAACUAAGGAAUUUUACAUUUAGUAGCUAUAGUAAGGAAUUUCCCAUUGCUGCCAGUUCAAUAUAUUUUGCAGAAGGAAGAAAAUGGCUCACUGUGCUGUGAAAUUCAAGGGCGCGAGAAUACUAGCAAGUAUUUGAAAAUGCCCCGAACAAUUUGUCCAUUCGUGGAUACAGUUUUGAAACUGGCGGUAAAUAGUUCACACGUAUCAAGAUAAAUGCUAUUGACUGGAGCACAUAUAUGUGAUCAUUACUGGUCAAAUCGUUGCGGACAUUUCACGACUUGUGUCAUGCCAUGCCAAAUCAUGUCGGUGUCUAAGCCAGUAUUGAGCAUUGCAUGAAAAUGUAUAACCUCACCUCACUUUUCUGACAGCUCAGAGAGCUUGUUUA